rnacentral:rRNA from 1 species
AUUGAACGCUGGCGGCAGGCCUAACACAUGCAAGUCGAGCGAGCGGCGGACGGGUGAGUAAUGUAUGGGGACUGCCCGCUAGAGGGGGAUAACUACUGGAAACGGUGGCUAAUACCGCUUACUAUCGUCUCACCCAUAUGGGAUUAGCUAGUAGGUGGGGUAAAGGCUCACCUAGGCGACGAUCUCGAGCUGGUCUGAGAGGAUGAUCAGCCAGACGGGGACUGAGACACGGCCCAGACUCCUAGGGAGGAAGCAGGGGGGAAUAUUGCACAAGGGGGGCAAGCCGGAUGCAGCCAUGCCGCGUGUAUGAAGAAGGCCGUAGGGUUGUAAAGUACUUUCAGCGGGGAGGCGUUACCCGCAGAAGAAGCACCGGCUAACUCCGUGCCAGCAGCCGCGGUAAUUC